GUAGGUGAACCUGCGGAAGGAUCAUUAACAAAUCUGUUGUCGGGGAUGUGCAGUAAAAUGUGUGUUCCUGUACAAAUAUCAACCGGGCGCCCGCGAGGGUGUUCGCCCCAGUGUGUGUUUGUGGGGGUGCCCCGUGUGCCUAUCAUGCGCGCACGCUGGAAAAUAGACGCUAGUAUGUGUGUAUGUCUUGUACAAUUAAAAUUAUAAACAACUUUUAACAAUGGAUCUCUUGGCUCUUGCAUCGAUGAAG
rnacentral:misc_RNA from 1 species